AUACGGAGGAUGCAAGCGUUAUCCGGAUUUAUUGGGUUUAAAGGGUGCGUAGGCGGUUUGCUAAGCGGGAGGUGAAAUGCCGGCGCUCAACGUCGGAAGUGCCUCCCGAACUGGUGGACUGGAAUGACUCUGCCGUGGGAGGAAUGUGUAGUGUAGCGGUGAAAUGCUUAGAGAUUACACAGAACACCGAUUGCGAAGGCAUCUCACGAAGGGUUGAUUGACGCUGAGGCACGAAAGCGUGGGGAUCAAACAGGAUUAGAUACCCUGGUAGGCCACGCAGUAAACGAUGAUGGCUAACCGCUGGUUUAUUCGGAUCAGUGGCCAAGCGAAAGCGAUAAGCCAUCCACCUGGGGAGUACGACCGCAAGGUUGAAACUCAAAGGAAUUGACGGGG
rnacentral:rRNA from 1 species